ensembl:lncRNA
GGCAAAUAGAAAGUUUCUUCCUUAUGAUUGGACAGAGGGCUGUCAGUAAGACUAAGGCAAAAGCCAAUGGAACAGGUGGGGCGUUACUUGCCCCACCCUAGCCCUGAGCAGGGGAUUUGAUCUCCUGGAGGGAAGGGGGCACACAGGAGUGGAACUGGACAUUGCUGUGACCCUGUGACCAUGGUCUCCUUUGCACCUUGAACUUUAAGGAGAGGGCACAAGGGCAUCUAACCCAAUCUCCAGCUUCCCAGCCUUUAAAGCUUAACCUCAUUUCCCUUGCCCGGAGCUCAGUAGGCAUUAAAUCCGUGGGCCACCAAGACGUAUCUGAUUAACUCAGCCUUGCAGCCUUUUGGAGCCUGAGAGUCGGGAGUAAUGGAGCACCAACCAGCCCCAUCCCAGGCUCCCCAGAGACAAAAGCCAAUGAUCAAGAUUAGGGGGUGUGCGUUGGAGAACCUCUUUAAGGCAAAGGUGAACAUCAAUCAGAUAUUGUCCAGAGCAGUCAGGACGCCUCCUCUGCUUAUGUCAUUUCUUCCUCAUACCUCCUUAUAGGCCUCCGGGCCGUAUAAGGAAGCAGGAGAGUUUCUGUUCUUUCUUCUUCUAAUUAUCGUAUGUAUGCAUGAUGAGGGUGGGUGUGCCAUAGCUUGCCUGUGAAGGUCAUACGACAGUUUUGCCAAGUUCAACAAUUCCUGUCAUUUCAAAUGCGGGUUCUGGAAACUCAAUUCAGGUUGCCAGGCAUGCAGAGAAAACACCUUUACCCACUGAGCCAUCUCACCAGCCUGUGUUUCUCUUCUUGGUUUGAACUUCAUCUUUACGCCGUGGAGAGAGCCCUCCUGAUGGACGGCUGUAUUUGGACACACAGACGCACAGACACACAGACACACACACACACACACACAGACACAUACACGCACAGACAGACACACACACAGACACACACACAGACACACACACAUAGACACACACACACAGACAGACAGACACAGACAGACACACACACACAUAGACACACACACACAGACAGACAGACACAGACAGACAGACAGACACACACACACACAGACCUUCGGCCUUUGAAUCAUGCAGGGGCUUCUGUUUAACACUGAUAAAGAACAAAUACAAACAGAUGAAGCUGUUCUGGGCCGCUCUCUAUUAAAGGCAAUGUUAAAAUCUAAUGGUUUCGUGCUCAUGCUUAGCUAUCAUUCCAGGUAUAGAGCCAUCCUUAGGCUAGGGGAAGAGACCUUCUGUUCCCAGUCUUAACCUUUAAAGGCUCCAACUUUUUAUCUUUGACCUGACCUUCCUGAGGUUGAGUCUCUACCCAGGGUCAACUAGGGGAGAAGGCCGCAGAGAACUCAC